CCAAUCAAAAGCAGCUGACCUAACUGCUUCUCUAAGCUCUCCCCAAAGGCAGCACUACCAGUUGCAAAAUACCACAGCCCACGUUACUACUGACAGCCUGUCACAAAGGCAAACUAAGAAUGUUCUGCAAACGAGAUUAGCUGAUAAGCCGCUCAAGUCUCUAAAGUCUUAAACAAAGCAUCGGACCAAUCAUCAGCACACCACAUUGUACAGUAAAUGUACACUACAUAUAAUCAAUUAACACAUCCUAAUAAAUUCAUCACAUCACUUGGCACAAUUCCACAGAAUGUUUGAAUUUUGUGAACUACCAAUGAUGGAGCCCAAACUCGGUCAGGCAGUCAAACUGCUGCGUCGAGGCGAUUGAGGCUCCCAACGUUGAAGCCCCCGCCGGGCAAUGGAAGAUCCCGCGGCCGAUUUUUAGCCGCGCCGGGCGACAAAAGGUCCCGCAAAAGGGCCGAUUCAAGCCUUACGAUUCGGGGCAGAUGAAGCUGCUGUUGCUGAACCUCCCGAAAAUCAGUCACCAACAUGGGACCUGCGAGCUCCCGAUGUUGCAGUCCACAGGGCCCGGGGCCAAUGCCUCCAAAGUCGAGUCACAGCCGCAUUGCAGAGCCACCACAGCCUCCGAAAGUUAGUCAGCUCCGUGAUGGUAAGUCCACAGGCUCUGUGACCGGAGCCCUCAAUGUCGAUUACAGUUGGAGGCCGCUAGCUCCUCGAUGUUAGGCCUCAGCGCAAACGGAGAUAUGACAUGGAAAAAGGUCUCAUCUUCGUUGAAGGACAUUUUUUUUUAAGUUUCCCCACCCCCCACAUAAUACAUCUAAAAAUAGACUAAAACAUACAUCUAACAUUAACGAUAAGACAAAGAAAGAAAGAAGAAAGA